UAGGGAAUAUUGCGCAAUGGGGGAAACCCUGACGCAGCGACGCCGCGUGAGUGAUGAAGGCCUUCGGGUCGUAAAGCUCUGUUGUACGGGAAGAAACAAAUGACGGUACCGUAUAAGAAAGGACCGGCUAACUUCGUGCCAGCAGCCGCGGUAAUACGAGGGGUCCUAGCGUUGUUCGGAAUCAUUGGGCGUAAAGAGUAUGUAGGCGGCCUUAUAAGUCAGAUGUGAAAUCCCUGGGCUCAACCCAGGAAGUGCAUUUGAUACUGUUAGGCUUGAGUAUGGAAGAGGGUAGUGGAAUUCCUGGUGUAGUGGUGAAAUACGUAGAUAUCAGGAGGAAUACCGGUGGCGAAGGCGGCUACCUGGUCCUAUACUGACGCUGAGAUACGAAAGCAUGGGUAGC
rnacentral:rRNA from 1 species